UCUGACUGCUUAUUCUUGGGCGUUUGCGUACUUGGUAACCAUUACAACCGAGAUGGUCUAUAUUAAACAUAUGGUAACUAAUCUGGGGCUGAAUACUUGGGGUUUCGUGUUCUACAACAAUUUGUUGUCAUUGAUGAUGGCUCCUUUAUUUUGGAUUGCAUAUGGUAACCAAUCUGGGGCUGAAUACUUGGGGCUUCGUGUUCUACAACAAUUUGUUGUCAUUGAUGAUGGCUCCUUUAUUUUGGAUUAUUACUGGGGAGUAUGUUGACGUGUUCAUUGCUAUGGGAUCAAAUGGAGGGACAUUGUUUAACCCUGUCGCCUUCAUUGCAGUCUCAUUAUCCUGUGUGUUUGGA
rnacentral:lncRNA from 1 species